CCCGCGUUUGGAUUGAAUCCCUCACCUGUUCACCUGUAUUAAUCUCUCCUCGUCUCACCGGCAGCGUUUGGGUCUCCGGUGCAGCAGGAACAGGAGGCCGAACAUCCCAUCAGGACCGGCGGUCACCCUGACGGUCAGAGCACUGUGUGACGUCACAGUGUUUCAUACGGACAUUCUGAUGUACAGUGUGAUUAUUAGUUCAGUUACAUGCGGUGCAGAACAGUGAGGAACAUUAGAGGAGAACCUCAGCUUAGGGUUGGAGUUCUAAAACUUUUACUUGCACUCCUCCAUCAUCAUGCUGGUCAUGUAGGGUCAUUGACUAGCACCUGAACCCUCCAUGUGAACCUCAACCUGGCAGCAGGAGUUACUGCAGCAGCACCUUCCUGCUACCAGACACAACCAAAUGUCUGGGUGCCUGACCAGUCUGGUACCGCUGGAACUCAAACUCUGGAGCUGGAACUCUCGGUGAUGUACGUGUGCAGCUCCAUGUGAAGCCGGCACUGUUGACUGAUGAAGGCUCGGCGUUGAGGAGCCUGGAUGAAACCAUUGAAGUGAGGAACAUGUGAAGGAAGUGACUGUCGAAGGUUCUCGGCCGUUCCUGUUCCGCUAUCUGAGCCGAGUCUGUGCAUGAGCUCAUGGACCUUCAGAUUCAUGUUUUUCUGAAUAAAUGAGAUUCCUGAAUGUG